UUCCUACGGGAGGCAGCAGUGAGGAAUAUUGGUCAAUGGGCUUACGCCUGAACCAGCCAAGUCGCGUGAGGGAAGACUGCCCUAUGGGUUGUAAACCUCUUUUGUCAGGGAGCAACGCCGGCUACGUGUAGCCGGACUGAGAGUACCUGAAGAAAAAGCAUCGGCUAACUCCGUGCCAGCAGCCGCGGUAAUACGGAGGAUGCGAGCGUUAUCCGGAUUUAUUGGGUUUAAAGGGUGCGCAGGCGGAGGUGCAAGUCAGCGGUCAAAUUGCGGGGCUCAACCCCGUACUGCCGUUGAAACUGCAU
rnacentral:rRNA from 1 species